rnacentral:rRNA from 1 species
AUACGGGAGGCAGCAGUAGGGAAUAUUGGUCAAUGGGCGCAGGCCUGAACCAGCCAUGCCGCGUGCAGGAAGACGGCCCUCUGGGUUGUAAACUGCUUUUGAUAGGGAACAAAUGCCACUUGCGAGUGGAGCUGAGUGUACCUAUAGAAUAAGCACCGGCUAACUCCGUGCCAGCAGCCGCGGUAAUACGGAGGGUGCAAGCGUUGUCCGGAUUUAUUGGGUUUAAAGGGUGCGUAGGCGGCCUAAUAAGUCAGUGGUGAAAGCCUCCAGCUUAACUGGAGAACUGCCAUUGAUACUGUUAGGCUUGAGUAUACUUGAGGUAGGCGGAAUUGACAGUGUAGCGGUGAAAUGCAUAGAUAUUGUCAAGAACACCAAUUGCGAAGGCAGCUUACUAAAUUAUAACUGACGCUGAGGCACGAAAGUGUGGGUAUCAAACAGGAUUAGAAACCCCGGUAGUCCC